CAAAGUUCAGCAGUGGAUGUCUAGGCUCGCACAUCGAUGAAGAACGCUGCGAACUGCGAUACGUAAUGCGAAUUGCAGGAUUCAGUGAGUCAUCGAAAUUUUGAACGCAUAUUGCACUUCCGGGUUAGUCCUGGAAGUAUGCCUGUAUCAGUGUCCGUAC
rnacentral:rRNA from 1 species